rnacentral:lncRNA from 1 species
GCCGAUUCUAGUAGGGGAGGGCUCAGGGGUGGGGUCUGUCUCUUCUCAGCAAGCUGAGAAGAUGUUGUGAGAAAGGGUCGAUCUAGUCACCACCACUGGGAGUCUUCACUGACUGGAGCUACUAUCCUCGAAGACCGAGGAUGGACGGUGGAUCCUCAGCUAGCCAUCCACCUUUAUCACUCGUGGAGGGGCCGUCUUCGAAUGCGAGCUCCCGUGAUGAGGCGAUGGGCAAAGAGGCCAGAAAGAUUGCGCUACCCCGAUAGGCGAUGCUUCAUACCCGACGACUAAUCCUUGGGCCGCUAGAAAGGAGGACGCCGGUGAAGCCGGGGACUCCAUUAAUGGAAAUCUUGUGGGCCACCAUGCUAGUGUUGUUGGCCAGUUGAAAGG